AGUGCAGAAGUUCACUUGGAGAUCCAGUAGGAUUCCUCCAACACCCCGCUCUGCGACAUAGCCUUAACCUCGUUACCAUUAUUCUGAUUGAUGCUUCUCUUUUGUAUGAUCUUACUGGGGAGAAAAGGAGCCUCGGGAGGAGAUCUGCAGCUGCACACCCAGAACAGAUACACUAAAUUAUCUGUGGCUUCAGCAUUACAGAAAAAUCCUUUGCCCUGCUAACGCAUCUACCGGUCCUUUUUGGGCUUGUCAUCACUCAGCAAUUCUUUGUGUUAAAACACACUGCUGUCAGCGCUGUGUGAGAUGCUUAAACAGGAGGAUCUGUGUUCUGGCUAAUGCCAGCAAGUGAUGAUGAAACUUUUCUGGGAAAAAGUAUUCGACAGCGUUAGCCAACAGAAAUGUAAGGUGACCUAUCUCAAGGAAAAAUGCCACGUAUCAAGCAGCAAAGGGGAAAAGGCCUGUGGCUGAGGGAGGGAAAGGCUUGACAAUCAGCACUGCCUGCUGAGGGAAGGGAUUACUAUCAUCUGGGCUUUCCUUUGCUGGCAAAUAAAUUAGCUGCAAUGGCAGAUAGUGUUUAGAGAGACUCCUGCCUACCCCUGCAACAGCUCUGAAGCCUUAGACUAUCAGAAGAGCAAGAUCUGGAGCUUCAGCAUUGUGUGUGCUGAGGGGGCUGCGUCCAGCUGCUGUCUCUGAUGGUCCAGCCUUGCCCUGUCCCAAGGUGUGACAAAAGCUGACUGCAUCCUGAAAGCUGGAGCAGCUGAGGAUCUCUGCUGACAAACGGGAAGGCUGCCUAGCUGGCUGAGGGAAGGGCUGUGAAGUCUGCAGGCUUGUGCAUCAUCCUCCCAGGAAAUACGCUUUGGGUAUCAGGAGAUGAUAACAGAUCAUUCUGCUCAGGGUGUGAGGAAGAUCCCUCCUGCACAAUGGGAGAUGUGGCUGGGCAGAAGGUCUGGGAGAAUUAUCUUUGUAGGAUUGAAGGAAGAUGUGUGAUUUUUCCCAGUUUCCAGGAAUUAAUGGUGAAUGGGAGGCCCUAGACUUCAGACACACAGUGCUCCUGCUUCUGUAUCAUAGUGGAUAUUGCACCCUGAACAUUUUGUUCACUUUGGCAUUGAACAGAUGGCAAGAAACUGGAAGGGAUUCAAACAGCAGUAGACGAGAUGUAAGAGACACUGGAAGAACUGGCUUGAGAAACAAGCAAGCAAAUGCAAAAUUAGAGAUGGGAAAUGUGCUAGAGCUAUUUGGAGAGCAUAAAGCCACCGAGAGAGGGGAACUUCUUAGUUUAACAGAACAGACCAUAAUCAAAAGGAGAGCACCAUGAGUAACCCAGUGCUUUGGCAAGCAAGUACGAGCUGAUGGUGCUGCGCUGAUGUAAGCUGCCUGUCCUUUCUCUUGCCCUUCUGCUACAACUGAGGCACAGCAGAGCAGGCAGCACAAGCUCCCUCAGAGAGCUUGGGGAGCUGGUAAGUGGCUCAGAGAAGCAGUGUGGCUCAAACAGCUUUGCCUUAUGCCCCCAGGUGUUGGGCUGUGGGCAGGCAGAGCCAUGCAGUGCUGGGGCUGGAGGCUGUGCCUGGUGAAGGUGGUGGUGCCACCUGCCCUCCCUGUGAAUGGGGCCUGCUGAGCAUCCUCCUGGCUCCCCUUUCUCACUUUCCAACACUCGUCUCCAUUUCCAAAGCUGGCCAGCAGAAAGCUGCAGAUGCCCACAGUGAACCCAUCAAAAAUAUCUUCCUGCCUUAUGUUGGAGCUCUUCUGUGGCAUGUGGCUUCUUCACAGCUGGCGGUGUUCUGUGGGAUGCCUGUGCCUGCAGCUGAGCAGAGGGGUGCUGGGUUCCUGGAGGGAUGUUCACCCGCAAACCCAUGUGCCCGCACCCUGGAUGCCGCAGCAGCUCAGGCCAGCAGUGCUGCUUGCGGCCUCCCCUUUUGUGGCUGGGGCAACUGUUGUGUGAUGAAGUGUGUUGGGAUCUGGGCCAGGAGCAGGGCUGUGGAAAGGAAAAACAGAAAAAUAACAACAGCAAACAUGGCACGAUGUCAAGCCGCUGACAUUCAGGCAGCCCUCCCGCCUGGCGUCAAGGCUGCGCCCCUGCAACCGAGCCUCAUCGCGGCCUGCCCCGAGUCGCCUCAUGGAGCAGCCCAUGAGCUGCUGCUUUCUUUCUCCCUCAUGGCAAACAAGAACAAACUGUACCUACUGCUCAUCCUGUUGUUCUUUGGGGAAGGGGUCCAGACAAUGAAACACACAGCACCAAGCAGCCAAGCUGACAGAGCAGGCCACGUGCGGCGGGAUGCCAGGCUGCAGCGCCUCGGGUAUUGGUCUGAGCCAGAACAGCUUGCACCCGCUUUGGUGGAAAUCCCCCUGCUGAAAGAGAGGGGUGUUAUGAAAUCUGCCUGCCCCACACACGUGGGAGCCAGGCAGGAGUAGUGGGAUGUGGAGCCAGCCGCACACAGCAGCCACUGACCUCUGGCAGGCUGGGACCCCCGUCCCCAAUUUCCAGGAUCGCAAAGCCCUCGCCAGGCUGGCCUGCUGCACGGGGAGGAUGAGGGGGUAUUGAGGGAAGAAGGUUGUUUUCUAAACAAGGGAAGGGGAAAUUGCCUCUGUUCCCAGGCAGGGUGGCAAUAAGAGGAAAUGCUGUUUUGUCCCAGCCGGUCUCUGUUGGCUUCGCAGGACUUUUGGUCACCACCAGCCUUGGUAACCGCUGCCUGUAGGCAAAACACUCCAAGGCAGGGAUGCCGUGAGGAGAAACACUUUAACCCAGCUUUUAACUGAGUGCAAGCAGUGCUCUGCCCAGUCCUAUCUCCCCACCAUCAGUUUCACUUCACACUGAGGUGCCAAAUCUGCAUGGUUUAGCCCCAGGCAGCCCACAGCACAUCAGCCCAGCCACGGCGCAGCUGUCUGCAGCAAGCCCCGUCCCUCACGGGUGGAGGUUGCCAGCACAGCAAUUUGGCCGUGGGUUUGGCUGCAGCUGAGAGCUGAAGCACUCGUGUGUUUGGGCUGACAUCUAGUGUCGGUGUGGAUGAGCCCAGAGAAACCAGCCCUGCUUCUCCCGGCCUGCCAGUGAUGAGGAAGAUGGUUUGGUGCUUCUGCUGAUUUGACUGCAGGUCUGACCCAUAACCCACGAAAAUCUCUUCUUCUAUUAACUACUGAGGAAAAUAAUAACAAUGGGUCGCUCAAAACGUUAGUGAACAAAUGGCCUGGAAGUCACAAAACCAGCUCAAGUUGCUUUGCUAUUUUGUUGUCACCUCCUCGUGAAGCAUCACAAGGACUAGGGACUGGUCUUGAGCAGUAGAAGUCACUUACAGGGAGGAAGGUAGUUGACGCAGUACCACCUAAUGGUAGGAUAUGAUUUCAAGGCACUUUUCCCAUCAAAAUCAUUUGGUAUGGUCUUCAGUAAACCCUGUAGCCACUGCCUUGAUUUGUUAUUAUUGGCUUGAGAGCCAUAUCUCAUGUGGGCUAAUCCUCCUUGACAGAUCUUUCCACAAAAGCCAGCACACCAGCUCAAGUCAGUUCACCCUAAUGUCUGUCUCACUCCCAAGAUGGGUACUUCUGAGACCUACAGAGUUUUCGGAAGCCACUCGUGGACUCAGCCCCUCCAUAGACCUGUGGAUUGCGACAGGAUGGGCAACGUGUCCUUGUAAUGGGCACUUCCCAAAGAAGCAGGAACAGGAUUUGGGUUUGGGAAUACAUGAAGCAACAGGAAAAUAUGUCGCUGCUGUCCCUACCCCCUGCAACUGGGAGGGAGACCCAUGCAAGAGGAUGCCUGGUGCUCUAGCCCCAGCUGGCAGUGUUUGCACAGGAGCAGGCUUUUGGGCACUCUGAAAGGGGCAGAUGAGGUCAUGGAGCAGAUCUCUCAGUGAUGCUGCAGGCACCCUGACACUACAGUUUGCAGCUCACAAGACUGCUGCUGCUGUUUAACCCUUAAAUGCCCUGUCUUUCCUUUCAGGUUCCCCAUCUAAUAGGAGUCUUAGUCAACCAGGGAACUCACAGUUAAGCUCAGAUGGCACAGGGCACUUUGUCCAACCAGAAGUAUUUCCUCUGUACACACUUCAACUCUGGAAAGUACAUGGAGACACUUUAUAUAACUGUGAACCAUGUAAGGACAAAGUAUUCCCUCAUAUUGUUCUGGCUGUGGUAUAUUUUACUUCAUGCAGUGUCGGAGUAUAUACAUGUCUACAUUUAUGGCUGCUGUUUAUAUUAAAUACAGUCCUCUCUUUUUCUUCAUUACCACAUUAGCAAUAUUUUUCUCUGCUGCCCUUACUUUACAUGCUAUCUCCUUCCCCAGUGUAAAACCAAAAUAGCAAAAACUUGAUCUUGGGACAUAAAAAGUGCCACUGCAAAACAACUUCUGCAGAGGAGCUGCAGCAGCUGAAAGCAUCCAUCAUUGACAAGGAUGGGGCUGAUAGCAUGAACAAUGUACAUCGAGGGUAACAUCAAGGCUUUGGGGUUUUCUAAUCCUCGUUCAUUAAAUCAAGAUAAUCUAGGGACACACA